rnacentral:rRNA from 1 species
GUGGGGAAUAUUGCACAAUGGGCGAAAGCCUGAUGCAGCAACGCCGCGUGAGGGACGACGGCCUUCGGGUUGUAAACCUCUUUUAGUAGGGAAGAAGCGAAAGUGACGGUACCUGCAGAAAAAGCACCGGCUAACUACGUGCCAGCAGCCGCGGUAAUACGUAGGGUGCAAGCGUUAUCCGGAAUUAUUGGGCGUAAAGAGCUCGUAGGCGGUCUGUCGCGUCUGCUGUGAAAACUGGAGGCUCAACAUCCAGCCUGCAGUGGGUACGGGCAGACUAGAGUGCGGUAGGGGAGAUUGGAAUUCCUGGUGUAGCGGUGGAAUGCGCAGAUAUCAGGAGGAACACCGAUGGCGAAGGCAGAUCUCUGGGCCGUAACUGACGCUGAGGAGCGAAAGCGUGGGGAGCGAACAGGAUUAGAUACCCUUGUAGUCC